UUUCAUAUCACAGUUUUAAGUCCUCACUUCCCGUUGAACAUCUCGACUGCUUGGUAACAUAAAAUCGGUCCUCCUGGUAGAAAAGUUGAUAAAAGUUGAAAACUUGAAAGCGUAUCACACAAAAAUGUACUGCAAUCUGAGGACGAUUGAAUUUCUUAAAAGCGUAUUUAAGAAAAAUCCACCGCCUGCUGAGGAAACGAAUCCUCCCACGUCGAGUGAAUCUGAACCUAGCACGGCGACAGAUUCACCAUCACCGACUUCAACCUCUGCACCCACGCCGACAUCAACGAAUGACCAACCACAAACAACCUCUCCAGAUUCUCCUUAAUCCAAUCAUGUAAAUGUAAUUUUUCCCCUAUUUGGUAACAAACUAUUACGAAUACGGCCUAAAUUUUGAGUGGCACAUUUUUCUGAUUAAUUAAUGUCUAUCAUUUCUACAAAUUCUACAAAAAAAUUUCUAAUUAAGUAAUUAAAUUUUGUAUUUAAUUCACGACACAUGCUUCGUGGUUAUAUAUGUGAAAUUGGAAACUUGAUUCAUUCCACAAUUUCACUUGGGUAUUAUCAAGUUAAUGCAAAAUAAAUUCAAUAUGUAAGAUAAUUUUCUUUA